rnacentral:rRNA from 1 species
AGUGAACGCUGGCGGUAGGCUUAACACAUGCAAGUCGAACGGCAGCACCGUAAGAGCUUGCUCUUACGGGUGGCGAGUGGCGGACGGGUGAGGAAUACAUCGGACUCUACUUUUUCGUGGGGGAUAACGUAGGGAAACUUACGCUAAUACCGCAUACGACCUACGGGUGAAAGCAGGGGAUCUUCGGACCUUGCGCGAUUGAAUGAGCCGAUGUCGGAUUAGCUAGUUGGCGGGGUAAAGGCCCACCAAGGCGACGAUCCGUAGCUGGUCUGAGAGGAUGAUCGGCCACACUGGAAGUGAGACACGGUCCAGACUCCUACGGGAGGCAGCAGUGGGGAAUAGGGGACAGUGGGCGCAAGCCUGAUCCAGCCAUACCGCGUGGGUGAAGAAGGCCUUCGGGUUGUAAAGCCCUUUUGUUGGGAAAGAAAAGCAGUAGGUUAAGACCCCGCUGUUCUGACGGUACCCAAAGAAGAAGCACCGGCUAACUUCGUG